UACGUAGGUGGCAAGCGUUGUCCGGAUUUACUGGGCGUAAAGAGCGCGCAGGCGGUCGUUCAAGUCGCGUGUGAAAGCCCCCCGGCUCAACUGGGGAGGGUCACGCGAUACUGAUCGACUCGAAGGCAGGAGAGGGUAGUGGAAUUCCCGGUGUAGUGGUGAAAUGCGUAGAUAUCGGGAGGAACACCAGUGGCGAAGGCGACUACCUGGCCUGUUCUUGACGCUGAGGCGCGAAAGCCAGGGGAGCGAACGGG
rnacentral:rRNA from 1 species